CAAAUUGAAGGGUUUGAUUCUGGCUCAGAAUGAACGUUGGCGGCGUGGAUUAGGCAUGCAAGUCGAGCGAGAACCGUAGCAAUACGGGGACAGCGGCGAAAGGGACAGUAAUAUGUAGGUACCUACCCUGAGGUUCGGGAUAGCUGCGGGAAACUGCAGGUAAUACCGAAUAAUGUCUCCGGACCAAAGGUGUGAUUCCACCUUAGGAGGGGCCUGCAUCCUAUUAGCUAGUUGGUGAGGUAAAG
rnacentral:rRNA from 1 species